GCCGUGGUAGGCCAUCUGGCGAGCCGCCGAGUUCAAGUUUCGGUGUUUGCGGGUUCGAAUCCCGCCCACGGUACAA
rnacentral:tRNA from 2 species